rnacentral:rRNA from 1 species
AUUGAACGCUGGCGGCAUGCUUUACACAUGCAAGUCGAACGGCAGCGCGGGCUUCGGCCUGGCGGCGAGUGGCGAACGGGUGAGUAAUACAUCGGAACGUGCCCAGGAGUGGGGGAUAGCUCGGCGAAAGCCGGAUUAAUACCGCAUACGACCUGAGGGUGAAAGCGGGGGAUCUUCGGACCUCGCGCUAUUGGAGCGGCCGAUGGCAGAUUAGCUAGUUGGUGGGGUAAAGGCCUACCAAGGCGACGAUCUGUAGCUGGUCUGAGAGGACGACCAGCCACACUGGGACUGAGACACGGCCCAGACUCCUACGGGAGGCAGCAGUGGGGAAUUUUGGACAAUGGGCGAAAGCCUGAUCCAGCAAUGCCGCGUGUGUGAUGAGGGCCUUCGGGUUGUAAAGCACUUUUGGCGGGAACGAAAAGGACUGUGCCAAUACCACGGUUCGAUGACGGUACCCGCAGAAUAAGCACCGGCUAACUACGUG